rnacentral:rRNA from 1 species
GAUGAACGCUAGCGGCAGGCCUAACACAUGCAAGUCGAGGGGCAUCGCGGUGCAGCAAUGCACUGGCGGCGACCGGCGUACGGGUGCGUAACGCGUAUGCAACCUGCCCCGCACCGGGGGAUAGCCCGCCGAAAGGCGGAUUAAUACCCCAUGGUCCCGGGGGCCCGCAUGGGCAUCCGGGUAAAGCCUUGGCGGUGCGGGAUGGGCAUGCGUGCCAUUAGCUGGCUGGUGGGGUAACGGCCCACCAGGGCAACGAUGGCUAGGGGGUCUGAGAGGAUGGUCCCCCACACUGGUACUGAGACACGGACCAGACUCCUACGGGAGGCAGCAGUGAGGAAUAUUGGUCAAUGGGCGGAAGCCUGAACCAGCCAUGCCGCGUGCGGGAUGAAGGCCCUACGGGUUGUAAACCGCUUUUCCAGGGGGAGAAUAAUCCUGUCGUGACAGGACUUGACGGUACUCUGGGAAUAAGCAUCGGCUAACUCCGUGCCAGCAGCCGCGGUAAAACGU